UUUAAGUGAAGAGUUUGAUCCUGGCUCAGAGUGAACGCUGGCGGUAGGCCUAACACAUGCAAGUCGAACGGCAGCACAGGAGAGCUUGCUCUCUGGGUGGCGAGUGGCGGACGGGUGAGGAAUACAUCGGAAUCUACUCUGUCGUGGGGGAUAACGUAGGGAAACUUACGCUAAUACCGCAUACGACCUAC
rnacentral:rRNA from 1 species